rnacentral:rRNA from 1 species
UACGGAGGGUGCAAGCGUUGUUCGGAAUUACUGGGCGUAAAGGGCUCGUAGGCGGCCAAUUAAGUCGGAUGUGAAAUCCCGAGGCUUAACCUGGGAACUGCAUCCGAUACUGGAUGGCUUGAAUCCGGGAGAGGGAUGCAGAAUUCCUGGUGUAGCGGUGAAAUGCGUAGAUAUCAGGAGGAAUACCGGUGGCGAAGGCGGCUCUCUGGGCGGCAACUGACGCUGAGGCGCGAAAGCGUGGGGAGCAAACAGG